AACGGGGUUAGUCAAGUUGUCUCGUGUCUCGUGAUUUCCUGUUUUAUUUUGAAAACGAACCUCCCUCUCGUUUCAGGCAACUUGCCCCUUCCCCCCGUGUGCUGGUCUGAUUGUCUGCCCGCCCCUGAUUGUUUCCACCUGUGCCUUUUAACCUGUGUGUAUUUGUUGUCUGCGUCUCCCUUUGUCCUGUGCUAGUUCGUCGUGAUGGGAAGUUCGGAUCUUUUGACCGACUUGGUUCUUUAAAUCUCGUUCAGUAUGAACGAGAAAUGAACAAAUCUUUUUUUGAGAGGACUCGUUCAAAAUGAACGAAUCGUUCACGAACGACACAUCACUCCUAGUUCGUCUUGUCUCAAGGAACCAGUGAACAGAUCUCAAGCCGUCAGAGAGGAAGUUCAAAAGGAGCCUGAUGACGAGCAGCUGUGUGCAAACGUCUCCGAGCUUCUUUGAAUCAGAGGCCAGCUGUUAGUUUAUUGUGAAGCAGAACACCGGUUGUUGCAGCGUGGGGUCGGAGACUCCGUCAUGUCUCUCUUUGUGAUACUCGGGCUGCUCGUCUGCAUUCAGGCUCAAGGAACCAUUGUGACUCCUGUGUUUGUGCUGAAGGGACGUGAUCUGCUCCUCAAGCUUCAUGCGGUUCCUCUGGGGGGGGUUUUAGCUGUUAACUGGAAAAUCAAUAAAACAGUCACUUUAGUAGAAUU